UAAUAAUGGAGAAAAGAUAAAAAAAAAAAAGAAAUGAUGGAGCUCAGUCAAGAAACAUUGCUCCGGAUCAGUUUGACUCUCCACAGGGACAAAAUGAUUUCUCUUAGACGGUGCCAACUGUAAAUAUUGAUAGUGAGCAAGUCUUACAGACACAAGGAAGCUUUACACCUUCUGUAGAUGCUGCAAGCAAUAUCAGAAAAAAUACACCGGAGAGCCCGAUCAAAUAUUAUAGAAAAAAGAUAAUCUUCUCAAGAAAGACGUCUAAAACUCCACGAGU